rnacentral:rRNA from 1 species
GACGAACGCUGGCGGCGUGCCUAAUACAUGCAAGUAGAACGCUGAAGCGAGGAGCUUGCUCUUCUUGGAUGAGUUGCGAACGGGUGAGUAACGCGUAGGUAACCUGCCUUGUAGCGGGGGAUAACUAUUGGAAACGAUAGCUAAUACCGCAUAACAAUGGAUGACACAUGUCAUUUAUUUGAAAGGGGCAAUUGCUCCACUACAAGAUGGACCUGCGUUGUAUUAGCUAGUAGGUGAGGUAAUGGCUCACCUAGGCGACGAUACAUAGCCGACCUGAGAGGGUGGACAGCCACACUGGGAAUGAGACACGGCCCAGACUCCUACGGGAGGCAGCAGUAGGGAAUCUUCGGGAAUGGGGGGAACCCUGACCGAGCAACGCCGCGGGAGUGAAGAAGGGUUUCGGGUCGUAAAGCUCUGUUGUAAGUCAAGAACGGGUGUGAGAGUGGAAAGUUCACACUGUGACGGUAGCUUACCAGAAAGGGACGGCUAACUACGUG